CCUGACAGCUCAGUUGGUAAAGAAUCUGCCUGCAAUGCAGGAGACCCUGGUUUGAUUCCUGGGUCGGGA
rnacentral:tRNA from 1 species